rnacentral:misc_RNA from 1 species
GAUGAAGAACGCAGCGAAAUGCGAUAAGUAAUGUGAAUUGCAGAAUUCAGUGAAUCAUCGAAUCUUUGAACGCACAUUGCGCCCCUUGGUAUUCCAUGGGGCAUGCCUGUUCGAGCGUCAUUUACACCCUCAAGCUCUGCUUGAUGUUGGGCGUCUGUCCCGCUGCUUUGCGCGGACUCGCCUCAAAGGUAUUGGCAGCGAUCAUGCCAGCUUCUCGCGCAGCACAUUGCGCUUCUUGAAGUUCUGGUGGAUCAGCGUCCAUUAAGCUUACCUUCAUGACUUGACCUCGGAUCAGGUAGGGAUACCCGCUGAACUUAAGCAUAUCAAUAAGCGGAGGA